UGAAGUUACUAUUAAGGACAACAACGGUUUUGCAACAGCUAUUGUUUUGGAUGAAAUUGCAGAGAAAAUGUUGCACCUCACUUCAGAAGAGAUUUAUGAAAUUUGCUUCAUCAAGAAAGAAACAUUAUCGCUCCAAAAUGUGGAAGAUCAAUUGAACGACAAGAUAUUCAACAUUCAAAUGAAAAGGCUAUUUACAAAAAAAAUGGAUGCAACACAAAAAUUAUUCAUUUUGUCUUAC